rnacentral:guide_RNA from 1 species
AUAUAUAUACACAAUAACAGUGAGUAGGUGAAGAUAA